rnacentral:rRNA from 1 species
ACGGCAGCACGGAGCUUGCUCUGGUGGCGAGUGGCGAACGGGUGAGUAAUAUAUCGGAACGUACCCUGGAGUGGGGGAUAACGUAGCGAAAGUUACGCUAAUACCGCAUACGAUCUAAGGAUGAAAGUGGGGGAUCGCAAGACCCCAUGCUCGUGGAGCGGCCGAUAUCUGAUUAGCUAGUUGGUAGGGUAAAAGCCUACCAAGGCAUCGAUCAGUAGCUGGUCUGAGAGGACGACCAGCCACACUGGAACUGAGACACGGUCCAGACUCCUACGGGAGGCAGCAGUGGGGAAUUUUGGACAAUGGGCGCAAGCCUGAUCCAGCAAUGCCGCGUGAGUGAAGAAGGCCUUCGGGUUGUAAAACUCUUUUGUCAGGGAAGAAACGGUGGGAGCUAAUAUCUCCUGCUAAUGACGGUACCUGAAGAAUAAGCACCGGCUAACUACGUGCCAGCAGCCGCGGUAAUACGUAGGGUGCAAGCGUUAAUCGGAAUUACUGGGCGUAAAGCGUGCGCAGGCGGUUUUGUAAGUCUGAUGUGGAAUCCCCGGGCUCAACCUGGGAAUUGCAUUGGAGACUGCAAGGCUAGAAUCUGGCAGAGGGGGGUAGAAUUCCACGUGUAGCAGUGAAAUGCGUAGAUAUGUGGAGGAACACCGGUGGCGAAAGCAGCCCCCUGGGUCAAGAUUGACGCUCAUGCACGAAAGCGUGGGGAGCAAACAGGA